GGUCAAGUUAUUAAGGGUGCAGGGCGGAUGCCUUGGCACUAGGAGCCGAUGAAGGACGUGAUAAGCUGCGAUAAGCUUCGGGGAGUUGCACGUAAACUUUGAUCCGAAGAUUUCCGAAUGAGGAAACUCACUUAGAGUAAUGUCUAAGUAUCAUUAAGUGAAUACAUAGCUUAAUGAGGGGAACUCAGGGAACUGAAACAUCUAAGUACCUGAAGGAAGAGAAAGAAAUUCGAUUCCGUAAGUAGCGGCGAGCGAACGCGGAUUAGCCCAAACCAAUAAAGUUUUCUUUAUUGGGGUUGCGGACAUAUCAUAACGAAGAGGUAUCGUAAUUGAAGAGGUUUGGAAAGACCCACCACAGAAGGUAAUAGUCCUGUAUGUUAAACGAGAAGACUUUAGAUAUGAUCCAGAGU
rnacentral:rRNA from 1 species